rnacentral:rRNA from 1 species
GACGAACGCUGGCGGCGUGCUUAACACAUGCAAGUCGAACGGAAAGGCCCUGCUUUUGUGGGGUGCUCGAGUGGCGAACGGGUGAGUAACCCAUGAAUAACCUGCCCUUGACUUUGGGAUAACUUCAGGAAACUGGGGCUAAUACCGGAUAGGAGCUCCUGCUGCAUGGUGGGGGUUGGAAAGUUUCGGCGGUUGGGGAUGGACUCGCGGCUUAUCAGCUUGUUGGUGGGGUAGUGGCAUACCAAGGCUUUGACGGGUAGCCGGCAUGAGAGGGUGACCGGCCACAUUGGGACUGAGAUACGGCGCAGACUCCUACGGGAGGCAGCAGUGGGGAAUAUUGCACAAUGGGCGGAAGCCUGAUGCAGCAACGCCGCGUGCGGGAAGACGGCCUUCGGGUUGGAAACCGCUUUCGCCUGUGACGAAGCGUGAGUGACGGUAAUGGGUAAAGAAGCACCGGCUAACUACGUG